rnacentral:rRNA from 1 species
GAGUUUGAUCAUGGCUCAGAUUGAACGCUGGCGGCAUGCUUUACACAUGCAAGUCGAGCGGCAGCGCGGGGCGAACCCUGGCGGCGAGCGGCGAACGGGUGAGUAAUGCAUCGGAACGUACCCGCAGUGGGGGAUAACCCAGCGAAAGCUGGGCUAAUACCGCAUAUGCUCUACGGAGGAAAGUGGGGGACUCGCAAGGGCCUCACGCUAUGGGAGCGGCCGAUGUCCGAUUAGCUAGUUGUGGGGUAAUGGCCCACCAAGGCGACGAUCGGUAGCUGGUCUGAGAGGAUGAUCAGCCACACUGGGACUGAGACACGGCCCAGACUCCUACGGGAGGCAGCAGUGGGAAUUUGGACAAUGGGGGCAACCCUGAUCCAGCCAUGCCGCGUGCGGGAAGAAGGCCUUCGGGUUGUAAACCGCUUUUGGUCGGGAAGAAAAGGCAACUCCUAAUACGAGGUGUUCUUGACGGUACCGGCAGAAUAAGCACCGGCUAACUACGUG